CACAGUUUAGCAUAGCUGGGGAGGCCUCGGGAAACUUACAAUCAUGGUGGAAGGGGAAGCAAGGCACCUUCUUCACAAGGUGGCAGGAAGGAGAAGUGCCGAGCAAAGGGGGAAGAGCGCCUUAUAAAACUCUCAGAUCUUGUGAGAACUCACUCACUGUCACAAGAACAGCAUGAGGGAACUGCCCCCAUGAUUCAAUUACCUCCACCUGGUCUCUCCUUUGACACAUGGGGAUUUAUGGGGAUUAUUGGAAUUACAAUUCAAGAUAAGAUUUGAGUGGGGACACAAAGCCUAACCAUAUCAUAUAUAUAAUGUGGAAUGAAAGUGUGAGGUUCAGCCUGUGCUCAAUCCACCCUUGUGCCAUAGAAUUGGUAAAUGCCCUUUUAAACAAUCUUCCAGCUGUCCCCUCAGGUGCUCAGGGUACUUAUCUUGUCCUUGACUCCCCAGGAUGCUUCCACUGGAGUACCCCAUACUUUGAGCCAUCAUCCCUACAAGAUAGGCUCUCUGGGAGCAAAAUGUGUUUGCAGUUUUGAUGCAAGUACACUUACAGGUCAGAACUAUUCCUGUCCUUUAACCCUGGUCCUGUAGCAUGGGAAAGUAUGUGCAGGGGACCUCGUAGCAGGCUGCUGUCUAUCUUCAUCUACACAUCCUUCUCUCUGGCCUGCUAAGAUAGAAGGAGCACAGAGAAUCUCAUUAAAGCUGCACCUGUGAUGGGACAGAACAUCAAACUAGAAGGAAACAUGGGAUUGUAACUGAUUCUAUCACUAACUAGCUCUGAGGCCUUGGGAAAACCACUUUGUUGUCUCAGCUUCUAAAAUGGGAAUAAUGAUAACAGCUGUUUAUUAUGGCAAAUUGUAGUCCAUUUCAUUCAUGCAGCAAGUAUUUCAGAGACAGCCUGCCUUGUGGAAUGAACUGGGUUCUGGUCUCACCUCUGUCACCAACUCUAACUCACUGGGUGACUUUGGGCAACUCAAACAAGAUGGAAAUUCUAGGAGCAAAGAUUUCAGCUAAAAGAAAACUAAAACAUUUCUAACAGAGCUACCUAAUGAUAGGCUGGGCUGUAUUGGGAAAUGGCAUAAGCAUAUCUAAUAUUUAUUCAGCAAUCACUUUAUUAAGCUAUUAUACUAAGUGCUUUACAUGCCUUGCUUCAUUUAAUCUUCACAGUAAUCCUAUGUGUUAGAUGCUUUUACAGAUGAGGAAACAAGCUCAAAGAGGUUAAGUAGCAAGGCUAAGAUCUGACCCAAAGAUCCAUGAAACCAGGCCGAGUCCACUUAACCACUCUGCUGCUUUGCCAGUGGAAAUGCUCAGAAGAAGGUGGAAGACCAUUGGCAGGCAGUGGAGAGAUCAUAGCAGCAAUUAGGUUAGGCUAGAUGACUGCUCAGCCCUGAGGUUCUAGGACUCUUGCUCCUUCCAGGCUCAGUUUCCUGGAAAAUAAGAGUUAAAUGUGAUUGCUAGGGGCUCCUCACCAUUAUAAAAUCCUGUGACUCAUGUGCUAGGGACAGAGGGCAACAGAAAAGUAACGUCAGAUGUACUCUCUGAUGUCCCAGAGUAUAGUUGGGAGGGCGAGUCAUAUCUCACAACCUCCAUGACCCAGUGCUCUGUUGUAUGGGAAGGGAAAGUCAGUGGGGUGGAUGGAAAGUGUUGGAAGGAAUGAGCAUGGGGGCUUAGAAUGGCAGGGUCUAAGUAGGUGCCAGGGAAAGGAAGCAGAAAGUGCAUGUUUGAAAAGCCAGAGGUGUUUCCCUUUGAAAGCUUAGCUGCUACACAGAGCAGCUCUAUCCAUGCCUUGACAGCUCCCAGACCCAGCUGUCAGAGGGCACCUUUCACUCUCUUUAACCAGCUGAAGUGCCCUGGCUGUCCUGAACUCAACACCUCCACACUCUCAGCUCUCCUGCCUGAGCCCGACAUGGGAGGCAGAGCAAAAGGCCACCAUCAUUUUAGCUGCCCCCUCCCACUCCCACAGAACCCACUGGGUUAAAGGCUGCUAUACAUAUUAAAAUAGGGACCCCAACAUGUGUGAGUAUGUGUGUAGUAAUUUUUUAUUUUCCUAAAAUCUUGAGACUAUUUUAGGGGGCAGGGAAGAAGACAGACAAGUUAGUGACAGGGAAGUCCUUGAUUAACUGUUUCUUUCCACAUUUUAAUUUCCUUUCUGAUAGAAAAUUCAAAUAAAACUGGGGGGCUGUCACAGUUUGUCAGUGGUGGUGGGGGAUGGGAGGCAGGAUGUCUUGGAAACAUAGGAGGACAUAGGGACAUGAUAGUAGCAACAAGCUUGGAUAUUUCCCAAGCAGGGCCUUCAGAGCCACUGUCUGGAGAGGAGAGCUCUUUGGAUAAACCGUUGUGUCUGUUGGAAAGUGGUCAUGCUUUCAUGCUCAGUGUAAGUUUCCAUUGGUGCUGUAUUUCACCAUGCACAGGCAGCACAAGGAGAGGAAGAAAAUGCCCUUUUGGAAACUAGUUUGUAGAUAAAGUGAAUCAGCAAAAGACAAGGUAGAAUCCAGAAAAAUAAGAAAGAACAACUUCAGUUCAACAUGGCAGAUGUUUUCCAGCAUCUCUUGCCUGCCUAACGUUGUCCUAAAUGUUGCAAGGCACAAGGUCUGGAGGGAAAGGUCUAUCCAGGUAGACAAGACUCACACACAGGAAACCACAGGAAUUUUUAAAAAUCCCUAUAAAUGCUGGCAAGAAUACUAUCAAAUGUCAGAAUGUUUUUCCCUACACACAUAUACUUGUUCUAGCAGUGAAGGAUACCUACUAACUUUGAUGCUCCAGGCUUGGUCUGAAUGUCAUACUAUUGUAGAAUGAGGAAAGCUACAUUUCAAACCGGAAUCAUUGGCUCAGUCUGGAUUCUCCAGGAAGCAGGCCUGAGGCAAAGGCUGAUGUGCUAACACAUCAAUAGAGUGUAUAGUCUUAGGGGCAACAAUAGGGAAUGAGGUGAGAAAGACAGGUAAGGAGACAGACUCAAUAGGAAGAUGUGUCAUCAAGCAGGACACUGCUAAGUGUCACUGGCUGCUCAAUCCACAGGACCACACCCUUGAGUAGCCCUAUCAUCCAGAUCUCAGAACCACCAGGGGAGUGGGACAGGGGUGGAGACAAACCCACUGAACAGAGGUUUGCCAUGUGUUGCAUUAGGCCCACACUUUAAGGUUGCCCAUGUGUUGGGGAAAGUACUGAGCAGGGUUCUACCACUGCUUCCUUAGGGAAAUCCUAGGGGAAGUCAGAUGCAGUCAGCUGCACCCAUGUGAAAUUGAUCCAUAUGGUUUCCAGACAGCUGGAAGAAGAGGCAGGUGAGGCGGAGAGGAUCUGUAGUAAAGCAGAGAAGGGUCUAACACACCCAUGAUCCCUCUACUGCAUAAUAAUUGUCUGACCGCAGUUUUCCUCUCUGAAUCCCCAGGUCCUGGUGCUGCAUGAGGCAUACAGCAGGCCUGAAUCUUACGUUUGUUAAAUAAGUGAAUGGAAUAAAUUUUGUUGAAUGACUAAGACCUAAAGCCUCUUAGUCAUUCCUGACUUCUUCCUACCACCAUCCCCCACCCCAUACCUGACCAGUCACCAAGUCCUACUGCCUGUGUUCCUAGCUCAUGCUGACCCCUCUCCCAGCCCCACCAGUCUUCCCUGUCUCACCUGCUGCAACUCUGAAGUGUAACUCUGAAGUGUAGCCCUGAUCAUCCCACUCCCAACACACAAAGAAACUCAACAGGUCGUUACCACUUACAGAGUGAAAGUGUCCAGCAUCCCCCACUGCGCAUCCCACCUCUUGGCCUCACUCCCUCAGGGCUCCUCCCAGCUCCUGGAACACAUCAGUUCCUUAUCGGUUCUGUUGCUGGUGUUUGUUUGUUUGUUUUAAUUUGUGUCAUUUUCUCCCACCGGGAAGUCUUCUCCUCUGACAUAGAAAAUCUUAUUCCUCUUUCAAAGGCAAUUUCAAG
rnacentral:lncRNA from 10 species